CCUACGGGUGGCAGCAGUGAGGAAUAUUGGACAAUGGACGAGAGUCUGAACCAGCCAAGUCGCGUGAGGGAUGACGGCCCUAUGGGUUGUAAGCUUCUUUUAUAUGGGAGUAAAAUGUUCCACGUGUGGAAUUUUGUAUGUACCAUAUGGAUACGGAUGGGCUAACUCCGUGCCAGCAGCCGCGGUAAUACGGAGGAUCCGAGCGUUAUCCGGAUUUAUUGGGUUUAAAGGGAGCGUAGUGGGAUUGUUAAGUCAGUUGUGAAAGUUUGCGGCUCAACCGUAAAAUUGCAGUUGAAACUGGCAGUCUGGAGUACAGUAGAGGUGGGCGGAAUUCGUGGUGUAGCGGUGAAAUGCUUAGAUAUCACGAAGAACUCCGAUUGCGAAGGCAGCUCACUGGACUGCAACUGACACUGAGGCUCGAAAGUGUGGGUAUCAAACAGGAUUAGAUACCCCAGUAGUC
rnacentral:rRNA from 1 species